ACCCAAACUAUUCUUUAUCAGUGACCUAUUUGCCAUCGAUUCCAGCAAUAACAUUUUGUCGACCUACCCGUUCCCACGCCUUGUUCCAUAGCUUGUGUUUUAAAA